rnacentral:rRNA from 1 species
AUUGAACGCUGGCGGCAGGCCUAACACAUGCAAGUCGAACGGUAACAGGAAGAAGCUUGCUUCUUUGCUGUAGAGUGGCGGGCGGGUGAGUCAUGUCUGGGAACCUGCCUGAUGGAGGGGGAUAACUCCUGGAACCGGUAGCUAAUCCCGCAUAACGUCGCAAGCCCAUAGAGGGGGAGCUUCGGGCGUCUUGCCAUCGGCUGUGCGCAGAUGGGAUUAGCUUGUUGGUGAGGUAACGGCUCACCAAGGCAACGAUCCCUAGCUGGUCUGAGAGGAUGACCGGCCACACUGGAACUGAGACACGGUCCAGACUCCUACGGGAGGCAGCAGUAGGGAAUAUUGCGCAAUGGGCGAAAGCCUGAUGGAGCCACGCCGCGUGAAUGAUGAAGGCCUUCGGAUUGUAAAAUUCUGUCAGCGGGGAGGAAGAUAGGUAAGAUAAAACCUGCACACAUUGACGUUACCCACAGAAGAAGCACCGGCUAACUCCGUG